AGUGAACGCUGGCGGUAGGCCUAACACAUGCAAGUCGAACGGCAGCACAGUAAGAGCUUGCUCUUACGGGUGGCGAGUGGCGGACGGGUGAGGAAUACAUCGGAAUCUACUUUUUCGUGGGGGAUAACGUAGGGAAACUUACGCUAAUACCGCAUACGACCUACGGGUGAAAGCAGGGGAUCUUCGGACCUUGCGCGAUUGAAUGAGCCGAUGUCGGAUUAGCUAGUUGGCGGGGUAAAGGCCCACCAAGGCGACGAUCCGUAGCUGGUCUGAGAGGAUGAUCAGCCACACUGGAACUGAGACACGGUCCAGACUCCUACGGGAGGCGGCAGUGGGGAAUAUUGGACAAUGGGCGCAAGCCUGAUCCAGCCAUACCGCGUGGGUGAAGAAGGCCUUCGGGUUGUAAAGCCCUUUUGUUGGGAAAGAAAAGAAGCAGGUUAAUACCCCGCUGUUCUGACGGUACCCAAAGAAUAAGCACCGGCUAACUUCGU
rnacentral:rRNA from 1 species